GAGGGGCCGCAUUCCUUCCUCAGCAGCUGGUGGAGCUGGGCCUGAGCAGGACUUCCCCAAAGGACUGAGAAGGAAGCCUCCACUCUGUCGUCGCUCUCUGUUGGCUGCCACCCCCAGCUCACCUUGCAGAGAUUAAUCACCUGAGGUCUCAGGGGAAGGAGCCCAUGGCAUUUUCUCCAGUGUCACAUUCCCUUUGGUUCCAGCCCUCAGUGCCUGCUGAUCUGUGAGGCUUCUUUGAUGAUGGGGCAUCUUCCGUGGGGACAUCUGAGGCAGGUAGGGCAAAAAAAGGCCCUAGUGGACUCAGGAGCUUGAACUGUGGUGCCCAGGCUGGGGUAAUUGUGCCCAGUUGAAGAGUCUAUGGUUGGGAGAUGCCCAGGGAUCUCUCAGCUCCACAUCUUCAACCCUUUCCCGGCACUUCCCUCAUGAGAGUGGGACCUGACCAGCUGUCUGACCUCAGUGUCUCUCUUUAACCCCACCCAUUGCCUGAGCUCCUCCUCAGUCUUCCUGUCAUUCUGACCUCAGCCUGAGGGGUUCUUGUGGCUCCACCCUGGCCAGUGAAGUUGGCCCCCACUUAUGGAAGAACAGAUGCACUGAAGGUGGGGACUGAGGAGCACUCCAUAGAAUUUUUAUCUUCUUCUGAGAUGACGCUUGAAUUUCCGUCUACUAUCUCCUAGAAAUCCCUGCUUCUGAGGAAGAAAGUUGGGGAAACUGAGGCAAUUAUGAGACAUCCAUUAUACAUCAGAAACACUCUGUGAUGCCUUAUUCCUUUGGCUAACAGGCAAGAGGGAGUGGCCAGAAGCCUCCUAUUUUGGCCUCUUGUCAGCAUUGAGUGGACACCUCUCUGUCCUUCCAAACCAGAGUGUCAGAAGGUCCCUAAGUCACCCUCAAGCAGGAACAGGGCCCCAUGAUGUCCUGAUGUCACAUUUGCCUUGCCUUUAGUGCCUCUGAGGACAGAUGGAGAACUGGGUCAGGGGAGGGCAGAAAGGAGGAAAGCAUUGGGAAAAUCUACCAGACGGGAGCUCUGUGAGGGCAGGGACGGUGCCCUAGUUAUCGAUAGACCCUCGGCUCUGAGCAGCACCUGGCAGAAAGAGCAUGCAUAAGGACGGUUGACAAUCCAGUGACUGCCCAAGAACUUGGUUUGCUUAAUCUGAAAAAUUUGAGACCUUGGUCUGCUUAUCUGAAAAACCUUUGUGUCUCAUCUGUUACUUUCUCUGACUUCAUAGAACAGAGUUGUUCUGAAGAGGAGUUAUUUGCCUAAAGCUCUGGGGUGGAGUUUGAAAAUUAGCACCAUACUUGUUUGGAAAAGUGAGAGUUUGUUUAUUCAACAAGCAUGUAUUCUGUAUUUGCUUUAUGCUAUUAGGUAGAGUGAGAAGUGCUAGGGUUAAAUGACCAGGAAGAAAAACAGGGUUCUUGGAGCUGUGAAGUUUAUAGUCUAGACGGGGCACAGAAUUUGGCCAAAUAAUCUUGCAGAUGGAUAAUUUCAGACUGGGAUGAGUGUUUUGAAGGCGAAGUUCAGGAGGCUGAGAGAAAGUUUAGCAGGGAGAACAGGGGGCCCUGGUCUAUUGUGGAUUCCUUUCCUAAGGGAGUGAUGUUUGAGAGGGGUGGUGAAGCAGACUGCAGUGGAGAAGAGAAUUCCAGGUGGAGGGUACAUCACAUCAGGGGCUCCUCAGUGAAGGUGGCCUGGGAAGUGCUAAGGAGGCUAGUGUGGCUGGAAGGCAGAGACUGAGGGAGAAACAAUACACAGUGGUGUGGCUGAAGAGGUGGGGAAGAGGCAGAAGGCACAGGCCCUUGCAGGCUGCAGACAGUAUGGAUUAUGUCCUAGAAGAACAGGAAGCCAUUCAAGGGUUAGAAGUAGGAGGGUGACGUGGUCAGCACUUUGACUUGGAGUGGAUGAUGGUUGGGAAGAGGGAAGGGUGCACACCGGUGACCAGUUGUAAGGCCAAUGCAAUGGCUCCCAUAGUGAUGGUGUCAGUGGAGAUGUAGGAAGAUGAAUUAAUUUGAGAAUUAUUUAGGAGAUAAAUGGAUAGGCUUUGAGAAUGAGAUGGAUUGCAUGAAGGAUGAAUGAUUCCUAGUAUAGAAAACCCGUCCACCAAUCACUGUGCAAAGGGUUUUAGAGAAGGUGAGUAUAUCAGUGAGGAUGCUUUCUGUUGUAAUAGAAAACCCAGCCCCGGAGGAAAAAUGGCUCCAAUGUUGGCUAAGUUAGCAGCUGUACAAUGUAAUGAAAGAAACAGGCUCUUUCCAGUUUUCCAUUCUGCUUAGGGGUUUUGUCCUCAAACUAUCCCCUCACUCUGGAAAGAUAACUGCUGAAGUUCUGGACAUCAUGCCCAGUCAUGAGUUAUCUGAGUAAAUAAGAGGGAGUGUAUUUCUUUUUCUCUAAAACAAUUUUUAUUUUUUGAGACAGAGUCUCACUCUGCUGCCCAGGCUGGAGUGCAGUGGUGCGAUCAUGGCUCACUGCAGCCCUCACCUUCUUGGGCUCAGGUGAUCCUCCCACCUCAGCCUCCUGAGUAGCUGGAACCACAGGCAUGCACCACCACACCUGGCUAAUUAUAUAUAUAUAUAUUUUUUUUUUAAUUAAUUAAUUUUUUUUUGUAGGGACAAGUUUUCGCCAUGCUGCCCAGGCUGUUCUCAAACUCAUAGGCUCAAGUGAUCCACCUGCCUCGGACUCCCAAAGUGCUGGGAUUACAGGCCCAAGCUACCUUGCCUGGCCUGUAUCUGUUUUAAAGUAACCUUUCCUAAUCCCCACCCCUCUCCACAAACUUCCCUUCCUGUUUCCUUGGCCCAAACUGGUUCACAUCAUGAUUGCUGAAUAAAUAGCUGGCAAGGAAAUGGAAUUACCACAACUGGCUAAGAUAAAUCAGAAUUAAUAUCACAUUCUGUGAUUAAGAGAUAGUUUAACAAAACUGGAAUUCUCUCACCAAGAAAGGCAAGGGAAACGAAUUUUGGGAGGGCAACUGAGUGUCUAUUAAUUAGGGAUCAUUUUCCAAAAUCCUCCCAAGGAGAAGCAGACAGGGAGAAACGUCUUUGAGCUGUCCUUCUGAGAGGAGGGUGGCCUGCUCUAGGUUGGAGACUGGGGCUCAGGCAUUAAUCCAGGCCUUUUCUUUAAGUCUAAGGUUAUUGAAUCUUGGAGCAGGAGAAGACCUUAUGAACUUCUAAAUCAGUGGUUCUUAAAUCUGGCUGGAUGUCCGAGUAAAUUGGGGAGGGUGUUAAAAUACAAAUUCCCAGCCUCUACAACCAUCAUCUGAAUCAGAAUCCCAGGAGGUGGAGGUCUAGGAAUCUGGAUUACUAAAGAGCUUACAGGCAUUUUGGAUACUGAUGGUCUAGUACCUAGGAACCACAAAUCCAUCCCCCACAUUUAAGAGAUGGGGAGAGAGAAACCCAGAGAGGGAACUUAAUUUACCCAAGUUCAUCUAGAGAAUUGGUCGACCCAGUGCGGAGAGAACCUUCCUGGGAGGACCUGCCUGAGGACCCCGUCUUCUGGGUACCCUUAUGUAGGGGGAGGGAACUGUGCAGGAGCAGCAGGGCUGGAAGCCCCAUGUGCCUGGAUCAGCAGCCCCCGCACGGUGGGCUAGGUCUUUGCCUGUGUUGGGAUGGGGACCUGUAACCAUGACCACCACACAUUAGUCUGAACCUUAGCAAACCUCACCACAUUCAACCCUGAAAUAACCCUGGGCUUAGGAAUCAGCAUUCCCGUUGUAGAGAUCGGUGGACCGAUGCUCUCAGAGGCUUCCACAAGCGUUUGUAUUGUUUGGGGCGGUCGGAACUCAGCGCUGCGGAAGCCGGUGUAUCUGAGUCUCUCCACGUGGCUCUACUUUUCUGCAGCCCUGUAGAAAUAAACCUGGGUCCUCGCUCCCUGGCCUGGGGAAGGAGGUCUGCAGGGGUCUGUGGGGGCCCUGGAGGCGCCUUCCCAGCUGCACAGGCUCAGUCGGACCAGCAGAGGUCACUGCGUGGGAAAGAGUGGGGCGCCAACCCGCGCAGAGCCCAGCCGGCGACCGCCCCCGCGUCCCCGCGGAGCUCCCUGCCUUCUGCCGCAGUCCUCCGAGGGCUGGGCUUCUGGGGCAGGUCAUGGCUAUUGCAACCAAAGGGAGGCCCGGGUGCCAGUGGGCGGCCGCCGCGGUGUGGAGGGCGCCAGGGCGGUACGGCGCAGCGGGCCGCACUCUUGGGACGCCCCGCCUGCUCUGCGGAGCCUGCCUGGGAUGCCCUUUCCUGGUCACGGACUCCGCCGGCAGCCGGGGCGGGACGGACCAGAGGCUACCAACUGGGGGCUUCUGCUGCCUGGGACACGGGGAUCCACAUUGCCGUCCGAAUCCCAUCGCCAAAGCCUGUAUGUGCAGCCGAGUGGGAGAGUGGCUUAGGUACUGAGUUUUAGGGCAAGCAUACCCCAGACCACGAGAAGAGACCAGCUUGCCUGGGCUUGAACCCUGCCCUUCCCCGCUGUAGCUGGGCACUGCUGGGCAAGUUAUCCCACCUCCCUGCCUCUUGGGUUCCUCGCCUACACCGGAGAGUAUGUGCCUGCCCCAUGGGGUUGCCCCGAAGCUUCGUGAGUUUUAUGAGUUUCUCUGUGUAAAGGCUUGGGCAGAGCAUGGCACAGGGUCAGUGCUGCGUGUAAAGUGUUAACUAUAUUAUUGUUAACCUUAGUGUCUUUUCAGUCCCAUCUAAAGUCCUUAAAGGCAAAGUGAGGCUCCUUAAGUCAAGCUCAGGACAAGGCUACAGAGCCUUCAGUGUUCCUCAUUGCAGCAGAGAUGGGAGCCCUGAGCUCUCAGAGGCUGCUCUGAUGGCUCCUCCACAAGCCAGGGCCAAAUGCCCGCCCACUCCUGGGCCUCAUGCCAGAGAAUGGUCCUGACCCAGCACUCUCCCGCCCCUCUUUGUAGCUCAGUAAGAUUCUGGAGUCUCACUUCCAGAGAUGCUGUAAGCCCUUGGUGCCCCUCAGUGUCCUCCCAAGGGUCUGGACAAGCCCAAGAGGGGUCAGAGACUUUGCUGAGUAGUGCAGUGACGUCCCAUGUACUCGGUCACAUCCCUGUUUUCUGCAGAUGGGCCUGGCCUCUGGUGCUGUCCUUAGGGGACUCUGCAGUUUCCUUCCUGCAGCUGUAGCUCCCCAGGCCUCCCUGGUGACUAUGUCUACUGAAAGGGCUCUUUGUACAUGGCCAUCUGGGAAAACAGUGGCAGUUGGGGUGCCCCCGCAAGUGCCUGCCAGCAUCUCCCAGCCCUUGGGUGACUGCAGACCACAUUCCUGAGCUCCCACAUGCUGCCGUUCUCGCCAGCACUGGGCUGCCCACUCCCUGGGUGGGGAGUCAGCAGGCCUGGGUUCUUGGGCAAGUCACUUUAUCUCUCUGAUCUUAGGAUCUUCAUUUGUAAGAUAGAGAUCAUGAUAGUUGUCCUGCCGGCCCCCUGCCAGAGGUUCUACAGAGGCUGUGCAUACCAGCCUUUGAUAGGAAUAAAGGGCUAACGUAGGUUGCUGUAGUUGCUGUGAUUGAGCUGUCAUCAGGCGCUGCACUGGUCACUUCUGUAAGCAGCCAAGUGGUUGCCAAGCAGAAGGGUUUGGGGAGACACAGAUGAAGGAAGACCUUGAUCUUGGGGGAUCUCCACCCCUCCUCAUUUUAUUGAAGAAUCACAGUACACAUUCCUGAGGGCAUAGAAAUAUAAAAAUAUAGGCUUCAAGAAACCCAUAAGCAUGGUUUAAAUAUCCAUCUAUAAACACAUAAAUGUUUCAAAACAACAGCUGGAAAUUCAAGUCCUCCAGGAUUCUGAAUUCCUCAAAUUUAGGAGAAGGUAGUCUAGGAAGGUUUCCUGAAGGAAGAAUCAGCUUUUUUUUUUUUUUUUUAAGGAAAGAGGUUUAAGGUGAUGGUGAUGAUGAUGGAGCUUCAGACCAUGACAGCCAAAUUUAUAACCAGUGGAAAGUAGGAGAGAUUUGGUGGUAGCUCUUGCCAUAUAGAGAUCCUGAAAGAAUAAGUGAUGUGUAAGAAAUAGUGAGCAGGUCUCCUUCCCGGGGCUGUCGAGUCAGAACUGAAGUUUAGAUGGGAGGGUAAACAAACAGGUAGGUUGUCAAGACUGCAUCAGCAUAGGGCCCAGCUCAGUAUGGCCCCUGGUCAUAGGUCAGUUUUCCAGGGAAACAGGCUCUGAGACAGAGAUUUGCAUGCAGGAGGUUUGUAGGGGAGGGCGCUUGGUGUCAUCAUCUGUGGGAUGGGGCAGAGGGGCAGGUUGUACAGUGAUGCAGUUGCAGCAGAGGUCUCAGUUGAUCUCACAAGGAGCUUUGGAGCUAGGAUGGCCCUUAAGGCUGGGAAGCCAAGGCCUUUAUGUCCUCUCAUUGAUCAGUUACUGGAUGUGGGCUGCCCUUGGGGUACAACCUUAGGGGAUGCUGCUCCCUUCAGUGGAGGGCAGUGCCUAGAGAGGGACUCAGCUGUGAGUUGUCGGCAGCGAACACUCCCAGCAGCUGUGGGAGUGUGUGGCUUCAUUUUGAAGGGGAGGUCUGGGUGAUGCCCCCAUGAUGGAGGCAGGGAAGGGCCCCCAGCAGAGUCUGAUGCACCUUGCCAAACUCUGACACCAGUGCUGGCCCCUCAGAUUCUUCUAGGGCAGGAUGGUUUGAUCCCUCUCUCUGAUAUACCCUUUUAUAGAAAGUUAGAGGUAGAAGUGAGUUUUGAGAUCAUUUAAUACAAUCAUCCUCAGCCUGGGAGAAGGAUACAUCUCAGAAUCAUCCAGGGCUUUUUCAAACCACUCACAGGAGCUUCUGAUGUGCACUGACCUCUGCCAUUCCACUAAGACUAAACUGUAAGCUCCUUGAGGUUGGGGUUCUCUCUGUCCUGCACAGUGGUGAAGGAAUGUUUGGGGAAAGAAUGAAUGUGACCUUCGCCCUUGUCCUCAGCCUCAUCUCUUGCCACUCACUCAGUUGUUUUCUACACUGCAGUUACUGUGACGUCCUUGCCUUUGCACAGGCUGUUCCCUCUGUUUGGAACUCCCCCAUCCCCUUCCUUCCCCUUACUUGCUGCUGCUUGUCUUUCUGGAUCCAGUUCAGUUAUCACUUCUCCCCACCUCCUAGAAUAGGUGUCCCUCUUCUGAUUAAAUGAGUUAAUGCAUGUACAGUGCUCACAACAGUGCCAGGCAUGUGGGGAGCUCUAGAUAGGUGUUAGCUUUCCCUGUGACUCCAUUCUUUGGCACACUGUGCUGUGCAUGAUCCUAAAAUGGAUCAUGCUUUGUUUCAAUGGCUUGUUUACUUGUUUAUGUACUCAGCAAUCUGUAAGUUCUUGGCAAGCAGGUACCAUGUUCCUUUAUUUUUGUACCCAUAGCAUCUAGUACAGUGCCUGGCACAUGGUAGGAGCUUAAUAAAUAUGUGUGGAAUGAGUGGGAGAAAUAGGUGUCUAGGGAUACAUUUUGGCAAAAUGUAUUUUAAAGUUUUUUAAUAAGGAACUAGUUGAGUGAGAUUCACUGACAAUGACCAGGUGUGGCAUCAUUGUUGCACAAAAAAUACUGAAUAUUGGAUGGAUGAAUUGAUACAUGGAGAGAUGGGUGGAUUGUUGAUGGGACAGGCAGAUAGGUAGACAGAUAGAUGAGCGGAGAAAGGGAUUGAUGGAUGAACAUUGCCAUGUGUGGAAGAAGGCCAGAACUUGCCAGGGUCUGGGCAGGAGGGAAGGUAGAUAGGAGAGGGCAUUUACAUUUCACAAAGGCCAAGCCAACUGGGCUUGAAUUGGGGAGGGGCACCUGAAGAAAACCCUUCCCAUCUUGCCCACUGAGGCCCCAGGAAAUGCUGCUCCUGCAUGUUCGUACCCACAGGGGAGGUGCUGGGGACCAUUACUCAUUCUGACACAUCCCUGAGGUCAGUAUAGAGGCAGCAGAAUGGAGGUGCUGCAGGGUGCUGAGUCAGGGGAGGAGAUGGGCUGUUGCCGAGUGGGGCUUUACUGGAGAAAGCCUGGGGACUUGGAGUCAGAGGCAAUGAUCUCUGUUCCUGAAGGGGGUUGACAGAGAACUCCCAAGGGGAAUCAGGGCGAGUGAGAUCACCUUGUGAGAGGGUGGAGGAUCUGUCACCCCAGAGCGCAUGGCUGAGUGCAGAUCUGCAUCAGGUUUAGGGAACUCUUGUUCUGGAAAAAUCUGGCCUUCUUCUGCCUGUUAGGUAAGCAGGUACUUGGCCAGUUAAAGUCUGGCUGAUAGGUGGGGCACGGUGCCUCAUGCGUGUAAUACCAGCACUUUGGGAGGCCAAGGUGGGAGGAUCACCUGAAGUCAGGAGUUUGAGACCAGCCUGGCCAACAUGGUGAAACCCCAUCUCUACUAAAAACACAAAAAUUAGCCAGGCGUGGUGGCACAUGCCUGUAGUCCCAGCUACUCAAGAGGCUGAGGCAGGAGAAUCGCUUGAACCUGAGAGAUGGAGGUUGCAGUGAGCCAAGAUCAUGCCACUGCACUCCAGCCUGGGUGACAGAGCAAGACUCCACUUCAAAAAAAUUCUAAAAAAAAAAAAGCCUGGCUGAUAGGCAGAGGUUUGUCAACAGUCACUGGGGUCAGACAGUUGGGUCAGUCAGCUGGGUGGUGGGUAGGGGUGCGUUCUGAGUGCACUUGGUUGAUGAGAUGAGUACUAAAAAGCAAGGCAGGGUCCCUGCUUGGGGAGGCUCCACUGGUUUGUUCUUCAGGGGUUGGUACUGCACCCUUGCAGACAAUUGGAAAUUUGGG
rnacentral:lncRNA from 1 species